CAAGAGUUUUAUCCAGGCCAGAAGGCUUUGCUGACUUUGGUGAAGAUGGCUUCCUGUUUCCAGGAGAAGGAGAAGCUGCCCAAGACCGGCUGCUGUGAGGUUCCGGGGAUCAAACUCAGGUCACCAGGAUUGAACAGUGAAUGGUUUUAUCGUCUGAGCUGUCUCUGUGGUACCAACUCCUUCUCCCCCUGCACACCAACAGUAACUGUGCUUGGAGAGUGUGGUGACUUGAAGAGACAUUCAUGUGCUUGAACGCUUGGCCCAUAGGGACUUGGCAUUAAUAGGAGGUGUGGCUUUGUUGGAGUGGGUGUGGCCUCAUGGGAGGAAGUGUGUCACUGUAGACGGGCUUUGAGGUCUUAUACAUGCUCAAGCUACUCCCAGACACGGUCUCCCCCUUACUGCCUGUGGAUCAAGAUGUAAAACCCUCAGCUCCUUCCCCAACACCAUAUCUGCCUGGAUGCUGCCAUGUGUCCCACCAUAAUGAUAAUGGACUGAACCUCUGAAACUGUACGCCAGCUCCAAUGAAAUGUCCUUUAUAACCGUU